rnacentral:rRNA from 1 species
GAUCAUGGCUCAGGAUGAACGCUAGCCACAGGCUUAACACAUGCAAGUCGAGGGGAAACGACAUCGAAAGCUUGCUUUUGAUGGGCGUCGACCGGCGUACGGGUGAGUAACGCGUAUCCAACCUGCCCAUCACUUGGGGAUAACCUUGCGAAAGUAAGACUAAUACCCAAUGACGUCUCUAGAAGACAUCUGAAAGGGAUUAAAGAUUUAUCGGUGAUGGAUGGGGAUGCGUCUGAUUAG